ensembl:lncRNA
CUACAAGCAGGGCUGCAAGCAAGACUACAAGCAGGGAUACAAGCAGGGCUACAGGCAUUCUACAAGAUGGGCUACAAGCAGGGCUACAAGCAGUCUACAAGCAGGACUGCAAGCAGGGCUACAAGCAGUCUACAAGCAGGGCUACAAGCAGGGCUACAGGUAUUCUACAAGCAGGGCUACAGGUAUUCUACAAGCAGGGCUACAAGCAGGGCUACAAGCAGGGCUACACGCAGGGCUACAGGCAGUCUACAAGCAGGGCUACAAGCAGGGCUACAAGCAGUCUACAAGCAGGGCUACAGGCAGUCUACAAGCAGGGCUACAAGCAGGGCUACAGGCAUUCUACAAGCAGGGCUACAAGCAGGGCUACAGGCAUUCUACAAGCAGGGCUACAAGAUCAAAAUGGAAAAAUCACAAUAUUGAAAUGUGCAAUAUUCAUAUCGCAACAGAUCCAUAUCACAUGUAAUAUUUUGAAACUCAUCUCAGCCGUGUGUAACCUUUUAAAGUUUACUCCUCUUCUCCUCUUGUGACUGCUUCCCACACACUCUAAGCC